CCCUGGCUCAGGACGAACGCUGGCGGCAUGCCUAAUACAUGCAAGUCGAGCGGAGUUUUGUUGAAAGCUUGCUUUCAACAGGAUUUAGCGGCGGACGGGUGAGUAACACGUAGGCAACCUGCCCCAUAGUCUGGGAUAACUACCGGAAACGGUAGCUAAUACCGGAUAAUUCCUUUCCCCACCUGGGAAGAGGAUGAAAGACGGAGUAAUCUGUCGCUGAGGGAUGGGCCUGCGGCGCAUUAGCUAGUUGGUGGGGUAACGGCUCACCAAGGCGACGAUGCGUAGCCGACCUGAGAGGGUGAACGGCCACACUGGGACUGAGACACGGCCCAGACUCCUACGGGAGGCAGCAGUAGGGAAUCUUCCGCAAUGGGCGCAAGCCUGACGGAGCAAUGCCGCGUGAGUGAUGAAGGUUUUCGGAUCGUAAAGCUCUGUUGCCAGGGAAGAACGUCUUAUAGAGUAACUGCUAUAAGAGUGACGGUACC
rnacentral:rRNA from 1 species